rnacentral:rRNA from 1 species
AGGGUGUAAACGCUGCAGACUUGGUGUUGGAAGUCCUUUGGGGGCAUUCAGUGCCGGAGAGAAGUUGUUAAGUCUGCUACUUGGGGAGUACGUCCGCAAGGAUGAAACUUAAAGGAAUUGGCGGGGGGAGCACCGCAACGGGAGGAGCGUGCGGUUUAAUUGGAUUCAACACCGUAAAACUCACCAGGGAAGACUGUUACAUGAAAGCCGAGAUGAAGACUCUGCUAGAUUUUCAGAGAGGAGGUGCAUGGCGUCAGUGACU